UGAGGAAUAUUGGUCAAUGGGCGCAAGCCUGAACCAGCCAUGCCGCGUGAAGGAAGAAGGUUCUAUGGAUUGUAAACUUCUUUUAUUUAGGAAUAAACCUCCCGACGUGUCGGGAGCUGAAGGUACUAAAUGAAUAAGCACCGGCUAACUCCGUGCCAGCAGCCGCGGUAAUACGGAGGGUGCAAGCGUUAUCCGGAAUCAUUGGGUUUAAAGGGUCCGCAGGCGGACUUAUAAGUCAGUGGUGAAAUC
rnacentral:rRNA from 1 species